rnacentral:rRNA from 1 species
GACGAACGCUGGCGGCGUGCCUAAUACAUGCAAGUUGAGCGCUGAAGGUUGGUACUUGUACCAACUGGAUGAGCAGCGAACGGGUGAGUAACGCGUGGGGAAUCUGCCUUUGAGCGGGGGACAACAUUUGGAAACGAAUGCUAAUACCGCAUAAAAACUUUAAACACAAGUUUUAAGUUUGAAAGAUGCAAUUGCAUCACUCAAAGAUGAUCCCGCGUUGUAUUAGCUAGUUGGUGAGGUAAAGGCUCACCAAGGCGAAGAUACAUAGCCGACCUGAGAGGGUGAUCGGCCACAUUGGGACUGGGACACGGCCCAAACUCCUAAGGGAGGCAGCAGGAGGGAAUCUUCGGCAAUGGACGAAAGUCUGACCGAGCCACGCCGCGUGAGGGAAGAAGGUUUUCGGAUCGUAAAACUCUGUUGGUAGAGAAGAACGUUGGUGGGAGUGGAAAGCGCAUCAAGUGACGGUAACUACUCAGAAAGGGACGGCUAACUACGUG